UAACCUCAUUAUUCUUUGCUCGUAUCGUCGUAUUCCAACCGAUCGAGUUCUCAUCACAUCACACCAGAAACAGGGUAUACUGUCAUUUGACUUUACAACGUUUAUUUUAGAUUCAUUACAGGGCUCCGGAGUGGCGCCUUGGUGCAAGAGGCGUCCCUAUAGUCCCUAGUUCGAAUACAGGCUGUAUGACAUCCGGCCGUGAUUGGGAGUCCCAUAGGGCGGCGCACAAUUGGCCCAGCGUCGUCCGGGGUUUUGCGGUCAUUGUAAAUAAGAAUUUGGUUAAAUACAAUUACUCAAAAUGACGGCGCCGAAGCAGACACAACCUUUCACAGUGAAAGAGGCUAAUGUUGGUUGAUGAUUCGGACACGCACUUUGAAAAGCGAUGAUGUCGAGAUUGUUCGGGACUUCUCUAUUUGAAACCCGGACUGCUCGGUGAACCUAACUGAACUGGAUCUGGAUCUUCAAGGACCAAAAACUUUGCUUUGCCAGCUGAGACAAGCAGGCCCAAGAUUUUCUCUUCAAAGUGCAGAUGCACAAGGUGACAUCGUUUUAAGACUUCUGCCAGUGGUCCUCCCACACCAGUCUACAAAAUUGUCAGGAAGACAUUCCGACCCAGCUUCUAAGAGACCAGAAAGUCCUUCAUUGACUUGCAGCCUGUAAAUUUAAAUAGUCGAUAGGGAGAUGGAUGGGGAAAUUAGAUGAUAGCGUUUGUAAGCCUUGAAUGAACAGAACACCAUUCCAAUAUCUGUUAUGCAGAACGGCACACUCCAAGAUAUUGUUGUGUAAAUUAACCUAUAGAUACUGUAGGCAGGCCCCUGAGUAUGGUACAGCCAAUUGCUCAUGUUAAAUUGCCUACUUAUAACAUGACAACAGCUGUAUUCAUUAUUUUUAUUUUUUUAUCAUUCUACAAACAUUUUUGAUGUGCUUGGUUGGUCACUUUUAACAUACUUCCAUGGUGUCUUAAUUAAAUACACUUUCAUCUAAAUGUAAAAUGUUAGCAUGAACAGAUAGACUGUCGCAUGGAAGGUACGUCAUGAUUAUCAGCCGAAAAGACGAUUCAAACACUUUCUUAAAAUAGCUCUGCUUUUAAGAUGCUGAUAAGCUGUUGCGUACCAUUUUGUUUGAACAAUAGUAGGAGAAAAAGACAACAAAAUAAAGUUUCAUCAACUGCACAUGAACCAGGUUAGAAGAACCUCAUGGUUUCUGGCAAUUACGCUGCAAUGAUUAUGAUGGAAAGCUGUGAGCUCCUGUUACUCAAUACAUGUAUGUAUGUUCAAAGCCCUUCAUCACCGGUAAGUCGGUAACACUUGUUUGUAUCUCACUAGCUAUGUGUAUUGCACAAAGCUUGCUAGUUAGCUUGUAGUAUGUACUAGUGAGCUGUAUCCAAAUAACAGCUAUAAUUUUCUUCUGCAUUUGGAUAUUUAUGCAAACCUGUAGAUUCCACCAAGUAGGUGUAGAUAAUGCCAUAAGCCAAUGUGGUAGGGUUGUCACCCCAGCUGGUCUCCAGGAAGUUGAAAGGACAUUAAAACACCAUUUCAAAUUUUGCUACAUAAGACCGAAUUAAGCCGGACAGUCACAUAUAGGCAAAAAUCCUCUUUUCUAAUUACCUAGACCAUUCAAAGGCAGGCAAAGACGAAGUAUUUACGCAACGUAUCUAAGACUAGCGAAUUAGAUUGAGAUGAACUUCUCUCACUAGAGUUGGCAGGUCGGGUAACACAUUAGCGUGGCAGAAUAAGUAUAAUGUAAAUCAUUUGUUGUUGUGACAGCCAAGUAUGUACCUCUUAUGGCUGCAUCCCUUGUUCUCAAUUUUUGCCUGAAGACAUACCCUAUUCUAACUGCCUGUAGCUCCACCCCAGAGGCAAGGAUAUGCAUAUUCAUGGUAUCAUUUGAAUGGAAACAUUCUGAAGUUUGUGGAAAUGUUAAUUGAAUGUAGGAGAAUAUAACACAGUAGAUCUGGUGGAAGGAAAGCGAAAGGAAGACCAUACGUUUUCUGUUUUUUAUUGUUGUAGCAUCAUCUUUCACAUGUACUAGAAUAGCCACACAGUCAGAUAAUUUGUAGGUGUGCAAAUUUUCAGACUGAUAACUUCAGGAAUGGGUGAGCUACAUGACAUUUAGCAUGAAGUCACCCAGGUGUCCCACACAAGUUGCCCGAAUGUACCCAAGUGGCCGACUUGGUGAAAUGACCUAUAACUAUAUACAACAGUGCAAAUAACUAUAUACAACAUAUCAAAAAGCAAUUCUAACACACAAAAAAAAAAUGUAAAAAAAUAUAUAGAAAAAAAACAGUACACCCUUUGGAAGUCCUCUACACAAUAUUUUGCUGCCUGUGCCAUGUCCCAUUGCAGUCUCUUUCUGAUGUAAAGCAGAGGCAAACUGAACAAGUGGUGCAGGUCAUGCGACACAGAACACAACAACGCCUCCAUGCUGUGCCCUUUUGGCCCUGAGGCACAGUUAUGCCUGCAGUAAUGAACUGUGGCAUAUGAACACCACUGGAGGCAGGAGUAGAGGGGGCAGAGGUAGAGCGGGUAGCUUGGCACUGGGGGCUCCCAGUCGGAGUCACUCACUGUGCUCUUGCAGUCAUCUUUGCAGGAUGGCCACUCCUAGGGAGAGUAGCAACAGUGCUGAACAUUCUCCAUUUAUUGACAAUUUGUCUUACCGUGGACAGAUGAACAUCCAAGGUUUUUAAAGAUACUUUUGUAAUCCUUUCCAGCUUUAUGCAAGUCAACAGUUCUUAAUCUUAGGUCUUCUGAGAUCUCUUUUUGUUUGAGGCAUGGUUCACAUCAAGCGAUGCUUCUUGUGAAUAGCAAACUCAAAUUUUGUGAGUUUUUUUUAAUAGGGUAAAGCAGCUCUCACCAACAUCUCUAAUCUCGUCUCAUUGAUUGGACUUCAGGUUAGCUGACUCCUGACUCCAAUUCAUUUUUGGAGAAGUCAUUAGCCUAGGUGUUCAAAUACAUACUUUUCCCAAUCUAGAUUGUGAAUGUUUUUAAAUGUAUUCAAUAUAGACGAGAAAUAAACUAAUAUGACACACAAAUUAUUGUAAGCACACUGUUUGUCUAUUGCUGUGACUUAGAUGAAGAUCGGAUCGAAUUUGAUGACCAAUUUAUACAGAAAUCCAGGUAAUUCCAAAGGGUUCACAUACUUUUUCUUGCCACUGUACAUACUAAUUUGAUUUUUUUUAAUCCUGAUAAUAUCCAGUCAUUGCUCUUUUCUUCAUUACCAUGCUGAGGAUUUCAUGUAUUUCCUGUUAAGAAAUUGAAUACAAGUUGUUUGGUAUAUUUACUA